UACGUAGGGUGCAAGCGUUAAUCGGAAUUACUGGGCGUAAAGCGUGCGCAGGCGGCUUUGCAAGACAGAUGUGAAAUCCCCGGGCUCAACCUGGGAACUGCAUUUGUGACUGCAAGGCUGGAGUGCGGCAGAGGAGACUGGAAUUCCUGGUGUAGCAGUGAAAUGCGUAGAUAUCAGGAGGAACACCGAUGGCGAAGGCAGGUCUCUGGGCUGACACUGACGCUCAUGCACGAAAGCGUGGGGAGCAAACAGG
rnacentral:rRNA from 1 species